AAACCGAGUCUUAAUUGGGCGUUAAGUUGCAGGGUAUAGACCCGAAACCCGGUGAUCUAGCCAUGGGCAGGUUGAAGGUUGGGUAACACUAACUGGAGGACCGAACCGACUAAUGUUGAAAAAUUAGCGGAUGACCUGUGGCUGGGGGUGAAAGGCCAAUCAAACCGGGAGAUAGCUGGUUCUCCCCGAAAGCUAUUUAGGUAGCGCCUCGUGAAUUCAUCUCCGGGGGUAGAGCACUGUUUCGGCUAGGGGGCCAUCCCGGCUUACCAACCCGAUGCAAACUGCGAAUACCGGAGAAUGUUAUCACGGGAGACACACGGCGGGUGCUAACGUCCGUCGUGAAGAGGGAAACAACCCAGACCGCCAGCUAAGGUCCCAAAGUCAUGGUUAAGUGGGAAACGAUGUGGGAAGGCCCAGACAGCCAGGAUGUUGGCUUAGAAGCAGCCAUCAUUUAAAGAAAGCGUAAUAGCUCACUGGUCGAGUCGGCCUGCGCGGAAGAUGUAACGGGGCUAAACCAUGCACCGAAGCUGCGGCAGCGACGCUGAUGCGUUGUUGGGUAGGGGAGCGUUCUGUAAGCCUGCGAAGGUGGCCUGUGAGGGUUGCUGGAGGUAUCAGAAGUGCGAAUGCUGACAUAAGUAACGAUAAAGCGGGUGAAAAGCCCGCUCGCCGGAAGACCAAGGGUUCCUGUCCAACGUUAAUCGGGGCAGGGUGAGUCGACCCCUAAGGCGAGGCCGAAAGGCGUAGUCGAUGGGAAACGGGUUAAUAUUCCCGUACUUGGUGUUACUGCGAAGGGGGGACGGAGAAGGCUAUGUUGGCCGGGCGACGGUUGUCCCGGUUUAAGCGUGUAGGUGUGUGUUCCAGGUAAAUCCGGUUCACUUUAACACUGAGGCGUGAUGACGAGGCACUACGGUGCUGAAGCAACAAAUGCCCUGCUUCCAGGAAAAGCCUCUAAGCAUCAGGUAACAUCAAAUCGUACCCCAAACCGACACAGGUGGUCAGGUAGAGAAUACCAAGGCGCUUGAGAGAACUCGGGUGAAGGAACUAGGCAAAAUGGUGCCGUAACUUCGGGAGAAGGCACGCUGACACGUAGGUGAAGUGAUUUACUCAUGGAGCUGAAGUCAGUCGAAGAUACCAGCUGGCUGCAACUGUUUAUUAAAAACACAGCACUGUGCAAACACGAAAGUGGACGUAUACGGUGUGACGCCUGCCCGGUGCCGGAAGGUUAAUUGAUGGGGUCAGCGCAAGCGAAGCUCCUGAUCGAAGCCCCGGUAAACGGCGGCCGUAACUAUAACGGUCCUAAGGUAGCGAAAUUCCUUGUCGGGUAAGUUCCGACCUGCACGAAUGGCGUAAUGAUGGCCAGGCUGUCUCCACCCGAGACUCAGUGAAAUUGAACUCGCUGUGAAGAUGCAGUGUACCCGCGGCAAGACGGAAAGACCCCGUGAACCUUUACUAUAGCUUGACACUGAACAUUGAGCCUUGAUGUGUAGGAUAGGUGGGAGGCUUUGAAGUGUGGACGCCAGUCUGCAUGGAGCCGACCUUGAAAUACCACCCUUUAAUGUUUGAUGUUCUAACGUGGACCCGUAAUCCGGGUUGCGGACAGUGUCUGGUGGGUAGUUUGACUGGGGCGGUCUCCUCCUAAAGAGUAACGGAGGAGCACGAAGGUUGGCUAAUCCUGGUCGGACAUCAGGAGGUUAGUGCAAUGGCAUAAGCCAGCUUGACUGCGAGCGUGACGGCGCGAGCAGGUGCGAAAGCAGGUCAUAGUGAUCCGGUGGUUCUGAAUGGAAGGGCCAUCGCUCAACGGAUAAAAGGUACUCCGGGGAUAACAGGCUGAUACCGCCCAAGAGUUCAUAUCGACGGCGGUGUUUGGCACCUCGAUGUCGGCUCAUCACAUCCUGGGGCUGAAGUAGGUCCCAAGGGUAUGGCUGUUCGCCAUUUAAAGUGGUACGCGAGCUGGGUUUAGAACGUCGUGAGACAGUUCGGUCCCUAUCUGCCGUGGGCGCUGGAGAACUGAGGGGGGCUGCUCCUAGUACGAGAGGACCGGAGUGGACGCAUCACUGGUGUUCGGGUUGUCAUGCCAAUGGCACUGCCCGGUAGCUAAAUGCGGAAGAGAUAAGUGCUGAAAGCAUCUAAGCACGAAACUUGCCCCGA
rnacentral:rRNA from 1 species